GUCAAGGUGCCGGAGUGGUUAACGGGCGGCCCUGCUAUCAAACGCAGUUUAGGCCGUGUCUUCGGACGCGCAGGUUCGAAUCCUGUCCUUGACG
rnacentral:tRNA from 1 species